rnacentral:rRNA from 1 species
GACGAACGCUGGCGGCGUGCUUAACACAUGCAAGUCGAACGGAAAGGCCCUGCUUUUGUGGGGUGCUCGAGUGGCGAACGGGUGAGUAACACGUGAGUAACCUGCCCUUGACUUUGGGAUAACUUCAGGAAACUGGGGCUAAUGCCGGAUAGGAGCUCCUGCUGCAUGGGGGGGGUUGGAAAGUUUCGGCGGUUGGGGAUGGACUCGCGGCUUAUCAGCUGGUUGGUGGGGUAGUGGCUUACCAAGGCUUUGACGGGUAGCCGGCCUGAGAGGGUGACCGGCCACAUUGGGACUGAGAUACGGCCCAGACUCCUACGGGAGGCAGCAGUGGGGAAUAUUGCACAAUGGGCGGAAGCCUGAUGCAGCAACGCCGCGUGCGGGAUGACGGCCUUCGGGUUGUAAACCGCUUUCGCCUGUGACGAAGCGUGAGUGACGGUAAUGGGUAAAGAAGCACCGGCUAACUACGUG